rnacentral:lncRNA from 1 species
CGGUAUAGCCAAAUCAUCACGAGCAAGUUGCGAGUUCCGUGAGUUUGUAGCAGAAUUCUGCCAAUUAUUCUUACAUCAUUCGGACAACUGUUCUUCUUAAAAUUUAUAAGAACGUAAAGAAUAACUGAAGUUUAUAAAAGUUGAAGAAAUUUUCACAAGGAUUAGAACAGCCUGCGACCACAUCAUCGGCAGAAAACUGAACUCAAAUGGAAGCGCUUGCACUCAUGUCACUAUCAUGUCCUGACAAUUUCGGAUUUAAUAAAACUAUAGAAGACGU